AACUACUGUAGUGAGAGAGCCACGUGAUUUUCGCGAAAUUCAAGCCUACUACUUUUACCAUUCCCAGCACUGAUCACAAUAGCCAAAGGAAAAUUCGGUGGUUAAGCGCAUGGUGAUCCAGUCUAACAACGUCACAAAUUUGUGAGUGCUUGGGAUCAUUGCCAGAAAAAUUAAACCUAAAUAUCGAUUGUAGGCGCAGAAUUCUACAAGACUUUCACGUGCAUAACCUCUAGAGCCGUGGAACCGCAUAACCGAACCAGAACGGAUUUAAUACAUUUGCUGGGCAACCGAUCUCCCUUGCGGAACAAUGACACAGAGCUGGAACUAGUGGUCGCGAUUUGAAAACACGCACACAAGCAAGAAACCCCAAACUGGGGUUUUGUUGCAGUUUCGGUUUGUCACGCGACACGACGAAGUGCAACUAAGCGACGCGACACAGUGCAGCAAAUAGGUGCAAGCCAGAGUCUAUGAAUGGAGAGUUUGGCGAAGAGACUUCUUUGAAUGGUUGUUCUUCUUCGUCUUCGAAAAUAGCCCCUAUCUGUUUUGCUGGUCUGCUCGAUAGGUAGACGGUUUGACAGUUCGAUAGGUAGAUUUUGUUUCACUCUUCGCGCAACUCUCCAUUCAUAAACUCUGGUGCAAGCAAGGAGACUGGUGAGGCACCGAGUGGCGAUAGGGAACAUUAUUUGAUCGGUGGCUUAGACCGAUUCGAGAACAGGGACACUUCGAGCGGUUAGAGAGGCGAGAAGGCUCGACAGAAGAGUGAACCCCAGGUUGGGCAAGGAACAGAUUAGACCAGUUGCAUUCGCGAAAGCACGAUGGGUCGCGAUAGGAAUCUAUUCGGGACUGUCAUAGAGUGAACCCCGGAUUCCGAGUGCAUGAUACAAUCGACGGUCGGACAACGCUUUAGGAUCGACUAGCAGCUACAAGUCGUUGGCUUCCAUGGUGCUGCGGAGGAUUGCAGGGGGUAAAACAGCGACGCUAUGCGAAUGAGGGU